UACGAAGGGGGCUAGCGUUGCUCGGAAUCACUGGGCGUAAAGCGCACGUAGGCGGAUUGUUAAGUCAGGGGUGAAAUCCUGGAGCUCAACUCCAGAACUGCCUUUGAUACUGGCGAUCUCGAGUCCGGGAGAGGUGAGUGGAACUGCGAGUGUAGAGGUGAAAAUUCGUAGAUAUUCGCAAGAACACCAGUGGCGAAGGCGGCUCACUGGCCCGGUACUGACGCUGAGGUGCGAAAGCGUGGGGAGCAACAGGAUUAAGAACCUUGUAG
rnacentral:rRNA from 1 species